rnacentral:rRNA from 1 species
GGGAAUCUACCUUUUGCUACGGAAUAACUCAGGGAAACUUGUGCUAAUACCGUAUGUGUCCUUCGGGAGAAAGAUUUAUCGGCAAAGGAUGAGCCCGCGUUGGAUUAGCUAGUUGGUGGGGUAAAGGCCUACCAAGGCGACGAUCCAUAGCUGGUCUGAGAGGAUGAUCAGCCACAUUGGGACUGAGACACGGCCCAAACUCCUACGGGAGGCAGCAGUGGGGAAUAUUGGACAAUGGGCGCAAGCCUGAUCCAGCCAUGCCGCGUGAGUGAUGAAGGCCUUAGGGUUGUAAAGCUCUUUCACCGGAGAAGAUAAUGACGGUAUCCGGAGAAGAAGCCCCGGCUAACUUCGUGCCAGCAGCCGCGGUAAUACGAAGGGGGCUAGCGUUGUUCGGAAUUACUGGGCGUAAAGCGCACGUAGGCGGAUAUUUAAGUCAGGGGUGAAAUCCCAGAGCUCAACUCUGGAACUGCCUUUGAUACUGGGUAUCUUGAGUAUGGAAGAGGUAAGUGGAAUUGCGAGU